rnacentral:rRNA from 1 species
AUUGAACGCUGGCGGCAGGCCUAACACAUGCAAGUCGAACGGCAACACGGAGAAGGUUUCUUCUUUGCGGUGGCGUGUCGGGGGGGUGAGUGAUAUCUGGGAGACUGCCUGUUUUCGGGGGGUAACACGUGGGAACGGUAACUAAUACCGCAUAUCGUCCCAAGACCAAGAGGGGGACCAUCUGGCCUCCUUCCGUGGUAUGAUCCCACAAUGUGGGAUUAGCUAGUUGGGGGGGUAACGGCCCACCAAGGCGACGAUCCGCAGCUGGUCUGAGAGGAUGAUCAGCCACACUGGAACUGAGACACGGUCCAGACUCCUACGGGAGGCAGCAGUGGGGAAUAUUGGACAAUGGGCGCAAGCCUGAUGCAGCCAUGCCGCGUGUAUGAAGAAGGCCUUCGGGUUGUAAAGUCCUUUUGGCGGGGAGGAAGGGAGUCAAGUUAAUACCUUGGCUUAUUGACGGUACCCGAAGAAGAAGCACCGGCUAACUUCGUG